AGAGAAGUGAGAAAAACAGAGAGAGCAUUCUACAGAAAUUUUCAAGGAGGACAGUUUACAUUUCUGAGUUUUGGGAGCUUGUUUACUGUUGGAUCAAGCUCAAAUUUGGUCUGCAGCAUCUUCACAUCUGGUUCUUCAUUGUGAAUGGUGGAGAUCUUGUUUGGAUCUCUGUUUCUUCUGUUUUUGGUUACUUGAAUAGCUGCUAUUUUUCAUUGAUUUUCAGCACAGACCUGUUUCAUCAUUUCCAACAAUCGGAAGACCAUUUGUGGUCCGAUUGAGCUAAAUUUUGAUGGGCACAGCGGGGACAUGUUGUUCUUUAAUCUUACUGUGGAGAUCGGGUUUUGACAAAUAGAAGGCGG
rnacentral:misc_RNA from 1 species